GGGCUGGCUUCGGCAGCACAUAUACUAAAAUUGGAAUGAUAGAGAUUAGCGUGGUCCUUGCACAAGAAUGACAGGCCAAUUCCUGAAGCAUUCCAUAUUUUA